UACGGAGGGUCCAAGCGUUAUCCGGAAUCAUUGGGCUUAAAGGGUCCGUAGGCGGUUUUGUAAGUCAGUGGUGAAAGCCCAUCGCUCAACGGUGGAACGGCCAUUGAUACUGCAAGACUUGAAUUAUUGGGAAGUAACUAGAAUAUGUAGUGUAGCGGUGAAAUGCUUAGAGAUUACAUGGAAUACCAAUUGCGAAGGCAGGUUACUACCAAUAUAUUGACGCUGAUGGACGAAAGCGUGGGGAGCGUACAGG
rnacentral:rRNA from 1 species